rnacentral:rRNA from 1 species
CAAUGCCGCGUGUGUGAAAGAAGGCCUUCGGGUUGUAAAGCACUUUUGUCCGGAAAGAAAUGGCUCUGGUUAAUACCUGGGGUCGAUGACGGUACCGGAAGAAUAAGGACCGGCUAACUACGUGCCAGCAGCCGCGGUAAUACGUAGGGUCCAAGCGUUAAUCGGAAUUACUGGGCGUAAAGCGUGCGCAGGCGGUUGUGCAAGACCGAUGUGAAAUCCCCGAGCUUAACUUGGGAAUUGCAUUGGUGACUGCACGGCUAGAGUGUGUCAGAGGGGGGUAGAAUUCCACGUGUAGCAGUGAAAUGCGUAGAGAUGUGGAGGAAUACCGAUGGCGAAGGCAGCCCCCUGGGAUAACACUGACGCUCAUGCACGAAAGCGUGGGGAGCAAACAGGAUUAGAUACCCUGGUAGUCCACGCCCUAAACGAUGUCAACUAGUUGUUGGGGAUUCAUUUCCUUAGUAACGUAGCUAA